rnacentral:lncRNA from 1 species
UGAAGGCAAGCUUAAGUAAAAAGUUCGAGAUGAAGGAUCUAGGACCAGCGACUAGAAUUCUUGGUAUGGAUAUCAUCAGGGACAGAAAGAAAGGUACUCUCAAGUUAUCACAGGAAAGAUAUCUUAAGCAGGUUUUAAGAACUUUUAACAUGGAGGAUUGCAAGGCUGUUGUAACUCCAAGUAAUUCGCAGUUUAAGCUUAAGAGUCUAACAGAGCAGGAGGUAAAAACAGAGAGUAGAUUGAUGGAUUCAGUUCCCUAUGCAAGUGCAGUGGGGAGUCUGAUGUAUGCUAUGAUCGGUUCAAGACCUGAUCUAGCCUUUGCCAUUGGAUUGGUUAGCAGAUUCAUGGCGAAUCCAGGAAGAUCUCAUUGGGCUGCGGUUAAGUGGAUUUUGAGGUAUUUAAAAGGAGCUACAGGAGUAUGUCUUACUUUCACAAAAUCAGAGAAAUUUGAGAUUGAAGGGUUUUGUGAUUCAGAUUAUGCUACAGACUUAGACAGGAGAAGGUCAGUUUCAGGCUAUGUUUUCAAAGUUGGUGGCAAUACGGUCAGUUGGAGAUCAUGUCUACAACAAGUAGUUGCUUUAUCUACUACGGAAGCAGAAUAUAUGUCUCUAUCUGAGGCUACUAAGGAAGGUCUGUGGCUUAAGGGAUUGUGUGGUGAAUUGGGUUUUAAAGAGGACAGUUUUAAACUCAAUUGUGAUUCACAAAGUGCUAUAUGUUUAGCAAAGAACAGUGUGCACCAUGACAGAACAAAGCAUGUUGAUACCAAAUAUCAUUUUAUCAGAGAUAUAGUCGAUGAAGGUUCAGUCAAGAUCCUAAAGGUUCACACUACAGCUAAUCCAGCAGACAUGCUCACAAAGUGCUUACCUGGAAACACGUUUGAGAAGUUCCUGGUGCUUCUCAAUGUAAUUCCGUAGUUGUUUUCAAAAGCGUCUUGAGAUUGCUCUUGUCGAUUUGGGCAUCUCACAAAGACAGAAGAUAUUGAAAAAAAAAAAAAAAAUUCAGUAUCGGUAACAUAAGAAAUCGACAACGUUUUUCAGAUUGUAAAGUUUGAAAAAUGUGAGAUGAGAUUGGUAAAAGUCAUCAUUUCAGGGUAACAGAGAAGAAGUGUUUCAUUACGGGUUGAUCUUCUCAAAUGGCAAAAUUUUCAGGUGGUCAAAUUUGAAAGUUUGGAAGCGUCAAAGGAAUUUGGGGUUUUACCUGCAAUUCACGAUGCUUAGUUUUUUGAAAUCAAAAGUGUCUUCAGCAGCUGCAGAUGAAAAGGAAGACAGUAAGAUUUCAGAAGUAAUUGCAAAUCACAGCAACAGAAACUGAAAUAACAUUUUGGUAAAGAGAUGGCUAUGGGAGUUUCGGAAUUUACCUGGGAUUGCAGAGCUGAGCUGCAUCGGUUAAGGUAGCAGCGGAAUCAGUCAGCGGUGAGGAUGAAUUAACGUCAAUCUAUCAUCGGAAAUGAGAGGAUCUAGAAAUAGUCGACGAUUUCUGGGUUUUGACAUGCUCCGGUGAAAAAGUUGAGAUGUUGGGUCGGUGAUGGUUAAAUCAGCGACAGCAGAUGCUAUCGUCGGUAAAGACGACAGUGGAGAUGAACGCCGGUAGCGACGAAACGGCGGUUAAGCUGGAAUCGUGGUGCUUCAUUUGCAGAGACGGUGGUGAGAUUCAUCGGCUUGUUUAAAGCCAUGAAUCGUGACGAUGGCGAGCUUCAAGGACGACGGUGAANNNNNNNNN